AUGUGAAGCGAACGCGGUGAACUGAAACAUCUAAGUAACCGCAGGAAAAGAAAUCAACCGAGAUUCCCAAAGUAGUGGCGAGCGAAAUGGGAUGAGCCUUGUACUCUUUAUUUGUAUUGUUAGCCGAACGCUCUGGAAAGUGCGGCCAUAGCAGGUGAUAGCCCUGUAGGCGAAAACAGUAUGAAAGAACUAGGUGUACGACAAGUAGGGCGGGACACGUGAAAUCCUGUCUGAAGAUGGGGGGACCAUCCUCCAAGGCUAAAUACUCGUGAUCGACCGAUAGUGAACCAGUACCGUGAGGGAAAGGCGAAAAGAACCCCGGGAGGGGAGUGAAAUAGAUCCUGAAACCGCAUGCAUACAAACAGUCGGAGCCUCGUAAGGGGUGACGGCGUACCUUUUGUAUAAUGGGUCAGCGACUUACGUUCAGUAGCAAGCUUAACCGUAUAGGGCAGGCGUAGCGAAAGCGAGUCCGAAUAGGGCGUUCAGUUGCUGGGCGUAGACCCGAAACCAGGUGAUCUAUCCAUGGCCAGGAUGAAGGUGCGGUAACACGUACUGGAGGUCCGAACCCACUAACGUUGAAAAGUUAGGGGAUGAGCUGUGGAUAGGGGUGAAAGGCUAAACAAACCUGGAAAUAGCUGGUUCUCUCCGAAAACUAUUUAGGUAGUGCCUCGUGUCUCACCUUCGGGGGUAGAGCACUGUCAUGGUUGGGGGGUCUAUUGCAGAUUACCCCGCCAUAGCAAACUCCGAAUACCGAAGAGUGCAAUCACGGGAGACAGACAUCGGGUGCUAACGUCCGGUGUCAAGAGGGAAACAACCCAGACCGCCAGCUAAGGUCCCCAAAUAUGGCUAAGUGGGAAACGAAGUGGGAAGGCUAAAACAGUCAGGAGGUUGGCUUAGAAGCAGCCACCCUUUAAAGAAAGCGUAAUAGCUCACUGAUCGAGUCGUCCUGCGCGGAAGAUGUAACGGGGCUAAGCCAUAUACCGAAGCUGCGGAUGCGUGCUUGCACGCAUGGUAGGAGAGCGUUCCGUAAGCCUGCGAAGGUGCCUUGUAAAGGGUGCUGGAGGUAUCGGAAGUGCGAAUGCUGACAUGAGUAGCGAUAAAGGGGGUGAAAGGCCCCCUCGCCGUAAGCCCAAGGUUUCCUACGCAACGUUCAUCGGCGUAGGGUGAGUCGGCCCCUAAGGCGAGGCAGAAAUGCGUAGCUGAUGGGAAGCAGGUCAAUAUUCCUGCACCAUUGUUAGAUGCGAUGGGGGGACGGAUCGCGGAAGGUUGUCCGGGUGUUGGACGUCCCGGUCGCUGCAUUGGAGAAGGCGCUUAGGCAAAUCCGGGCGCAGGAUUCAAGGGUGUGGCGCGAGCGACUUCGGUCGCGAAGCAAUUGGAAGUGGUUCCAAGAAAAGCCUCUAAGCUUCAGUCUAACGAUGACCGUACCGCAAACCGACACAGGUGGGCGAGAUGAGUAUUCUAAGGCGCUUGAGAGAACUCGGGAGAAGGAACUCGGCAAAUUGGUACCGUAACUUCGGGAUAAGGUACGCCCUUGUAGCUUGAC
rnacentral:rRNA from 1 species